UUGGUAUGGUACUUACUCAUCUAGCCUAGACACAAAUUUAUUGUCUGGCAAGCAACUGGCUAAUCAAGAGAAAUUGCUAACAAAAGAGAGGAAGAUUUGACUACAAAUACAAUUAGAAGAUGACAAGUGUUGUAUAUAUAAAGAUAACAAGCUGGAAACUCGAUUAGAUCUAUUAUCAAAAUGUACUCACUACUCAGCUUGCCGGAGAGUGUAGGAGUUGUCCAGAUCAACGAUCGAUCUCCUGGCAGCCUCAUUUGGGGGGACAAAGUAGUUGGUAAUAUUCUAUGAAGGCAACAAACGAUUCACUAUGUACUGAAAAUGAAAUGCUAUUUGUAAAAAAACAACACUCAAGACAGAACUAGCAAAUUGGAGUACAAAAGAUGAAGGUAACAAAAAGCUUAAUAUGGAUAAAGGGAAGGCGCUCGAAAAAUAUGAAAAAGAAUUAGUUACGGCUAUAUGGGGAGAUAGAAUCUACCACACUUGGAGAGAAACAAAUUGAAAAAUAUUCAGAGAGACAGCUAAAAAUACAGAUAUUACAUUUGUACAAAUAAUAAAGAGAUAGCUAAAAGAGUGGAUUUCUUGAAACACAAUAGGAAAGUUAAUAGAUGUAGAUACCUGGUCGAAGAAAUUUGUAACUAGGUGAUACAAAUUUACUUUAUGUGCAGAACAAAAUAGUCCAUAUCAGCAUCAUCCAGCUUAAAAAAUUAAAGAAAAUAAUGUUGUAAAUCCUUACCAUAACAACAUUCCACAUGUAUUCUAGCCUAUCGAUCUUUUAUUACGUACCCUCAAUGGACACAUAUGUUUUCACACUAAUGAGACUUGUAGGAUUCAGACAUUUAUAGGAAGUUUUUUGUCCUUUCUCACCUAAAAUACAAUGGAACUUCAGGACAAAAAAAAUCUUUGCUUAGAGACUUUUUAGAAGCUACACUCAAAUAGCUCACCCUUACUAAAGGAAGAAUGCCCUGAUCAGUUUCACACUGGGAGAAGGAUGGUACCGAUCAGAGAAAGUAGUGCUAAGUAUAUUCUACGCAAAGUUGGGCCUGAGAAGAUUUUAAAUUUUUUGAAUAACUAGACUAGUAAAGUGCAGUUGGCUAGCACCAUCAAUAGUCCCCCUAAAGGAAGAACCCAAGAGUGACUAAUUUUAUUCAUAAUGUAUAUUGGAAAGUGAACAUGUUUAAAGUUGUUUUCCCUUAACAAGUAGUUCAGAAAAUUAUGAGCAUCCAAAUUUAUGAUGAAUAAAAGAUCUACGAAUUCGGUCCAUCCACUAUAGUGGAAAAUUCACCUGUCACAAUACUUCAGAGUCUGCUAUGAGAUAGAGAAACAACCAAUGCAUUACUUCAAACAUGAUCUGGCAUCGUAAAAUGAAAUAUCACUUUCAAGAUAUCAUUUUUUGAUUAUGAGACUAUCGAGAAUUAGACUGCCAAUUGACAGUUCCCUCUAAAAAUUCAAAGUUCUUGGCCACUCUAGGUGUUGUUGGUGCAAACAGUAUUUCGAUGAAAGUAUGGAACACAAGUUUUAUAACAAUGGCUUGGUUAAAUACGUACAAACCUUUAGCAACACGAACAUAAUUAAGGAUAUGACUAAACUACAGUAGUGCACAAAGCAAAAUAACAUUAAGUUAAAAUAAAAGGAAAAAAAACCUAACGGAUACUCAAAAAUUAGGGAAAAUAAAAAAUUUGAAAAAUUUAGACAUUCCACAAAGCAAUUGAGAGUAAAAAUAAUACAAACUUACCUUGAAGAGAAGAAAACGCAAGUGUUGAGAAAACUAAUAAGCCCAUAAGCAGUAAGAAGAGAAGAUUGGUUCUCUUUAAGGAAUAAUAGAAUGUGUACUACAAUUAAAAUAGAGAGAUCUUGUUGCCUACUUAAAUAGAAGGAACUAAGAGACCUUCGGCCUAAUUUCUCUUAAUAAACAUUGAAAUUGACGUACCUUAUUCAUUUUGAUCUUAUAUGUUUCUUGAUUGUCCUCUGGCUAAUUUUCUUCCAACAAAUUGACACUCCUAAUUUUAAACUGAGGGAGCCCUAUGGCUAGAUAAAUUUAGGGUUAAUACAGACUUGGGCAGAAUAAAAAAUCCCCAAAUCUCAAAUAGAAUAGGAGAGAAGAAGGUAUUGCAGAUUUUACACAAAUUUCUCUAUUGGUACUGGAGAUAAGUUGUGCUUCAGUUAGGAUUCUCUAAUAGAAUGAUAGAAGAUCAGAAACUUCAUUAGUGAAUCUAUUUUCUUACGGAGAGGAGGAGUGGGGUAUGUGGACUAUUUUUUUAUGGAGAGGAGGGGUGGCGUAUGUCG
rnacentral:lncRNA from 1 species